AGGAUAAAUAAAUAAAUAAAUAAAGGGACACUAGCGAUCCUGUGGCCUUGUGUGAGGUGAGUGCUCAGAGCAGUGUAGCAUCAGGGCCCAGAGGAAGUGCACCACCCGUGGGAUUCUCUCCUCUGUCCACAGGCCUGACUCCCCAGGAGCAAUAGAACCAUGUGAAGCAGGAGGAGGCUGUGGGGUUGGGUGUCAGCAUUUCCGUGACACCCCUGACUGCAGACGGAUUUCUCUACAGAAAUACAGAGCAGACCCCGAACACACCAAGGCAGGGCCUCGCCCUUGCAGCUCUUUUCAGAGAACAGAAGGAAAUGCUCCAGGCUCAGGACGUCACGCCCUUACACAGCAUGGAGUUGGUACAGGAACCCCUGACAUUUCACGAUGUGGCCGUGGACUUCACCUGGGAGGAGUGGCAGCUCCUGGGCCCUGAGCAGAAGGACCUGUACAGGGAUGUGAUGAUGGAGACCUACAGCCACCUGGUGUCACUGGGGUAUCGAGCCCGCAAACCAGACGUGCUCUCCAAGCUGGA